UCAUAAAAUCCCUCGUUUUAACAUUCCUACUCCGCUUCGAACUCUUCUCUGUCCGUCUCUCGUCGACGCCUGAGAAGAAGAGAAAAAAACCCCCUCGAAAAUUCAAAAUCUCGUCAUCUCUCUAUUUUCUCAGAUAUCGUCAAAAAGCUGUAUUCUGCUGCUAGCAGAGAGUGAUCAAUUGAAAAUUGGAAGGAACUUGCCACUGAUGAGUACAAAGGCGCCAGCAAAAGCUUAUCCUCAGGUGGUGAAAUUGGAAAAGGCACUGAAGUUGGAGAUGCUUCCCGAUUGAAGCAGCCGCUUUGUCCACCCUGGGCUAGUUGACCCAUCCAGUGCCAUGGACGCUAUGCCAGAGGUGACCGUUAGUGCGCCACUAGAUUUCGGCCAAGCUCAGGCCACGUCUUCGGCCCCACCCGCACCUCAGGUGGCCCCGACUAUAAAUAUGAUGGGGCAGAUGUUGCUCUAUAGCAACAACAACAACAGACCCUGACCACACUUGUGGAACCUAUCGCCUACAACCCAAAUGUGGCCCCACCGAUGCAGCUCGCACAGACUCCUGUCACGACCGCGACAAGCGAUAUGUUUGAGCGCUUCCAAAUUCUCAGGCCGCCCACCUUUGCGGGCACCCACCGGCCCGAGGACUCCGAAUAUUUGCUAAAUUGGAUCUCCAAGAUAAUUCGGCCCCUCCACUGUUUCGAAGCAGAAUAAGUUGAGCUCGUUACUUACGGGUUUGAGAAGGAGGCAGACGUAUGGUGGGAUAGUGUACUAAGGUCCGUACCGGCCGGCUUCAUAUGGACGUGGGAUGAAUUUGAGUUGCGCUUCUUCAAGAAGUACAUUCCACUCACCGUAAUGAAAAGGAGAGUGAAUUUCUCCACCUCCAGCAGGGAGGGAUGUCAGUGGCCGAGUACGAGACCCGCUUCACGGAGCUAUCGCAGUAUGCUCCUUAGAUAGUGGCAGACGAACAGACCAAGAUGCGGUGUUUUUCGGAGGGCUUACGGGUAGGCAUCCGCAUAAAGAUGUGUUGUGUCGAUAUUCAUACAUAUGCCGACCUUAUGGAGAUGUCCUUACGAUCUGAGCAGGAUGGGGAGUGGGUCUCUCGAGCCUGCCUACAGUUGGGCCCAAGGCCUAGGAUGGAGGGGCAACCCUCGUCACUCCCGGGCAAGAGGCAACGGAUGAACUCGCCUCCGAGACUUAUGGCUCCCCUAGCUCCCCAAAUGCGGCCUAAUCGAGUAUGCACAUACUGUAAGAAAGUGGGCCAUACGAUGCCCUUUUUUUUCUCCAGGAUGAGGGACAACGGCUAUAUGCCCCCUCAGCGCAUUAAUUGUCAACCACAACAAACAAUGCCAGCUCCCUCUCAGCGAGCAAUGGGGCCUGCACAACAAUUCAAUCGCCCUCCUGCACAUCAGAGUAAUCCGCCUCAACGACCUGUGCAAUUGCCCAACCUUGCGCAACAGGCGCGAGUUCAUGCAAUGGCGACAAAGGGUGUCGAUGCUGCUGUAGCUACGUCCACAACAUUCGAGGUUACAACCCACAUACAAGACCCUAUCAUAGAUGCAGGUACCCUGGAGUCCGACACGUUGGAGGAGGCAUCCGUGGACUCAGAGGAUGAGCUUUUGUAUUUCCAGCUGUUGGGCGGGCCACUAUAGGUUGCUUUAGGGGCAGCGAUGAGAUUUUGAGUUGAGAUAUUUUGUAUUUUGGAACCGCUGAAGCAUGGGUUGAUAACAUGAGCAGGACAGCUGCAGAUGAAUCAACUGAAUUGGAAUUCGAGGGCCGGCCUUCCAGGCUAGGAUUAGGGGUGAAAGUUAUACCUCAAUUUAAAGCAGCUGCUUCAACUGAUCCCGUUGAAAGGAAGUUACAUGCAAAGUUAGAUGCCGAGAAAAAGCGAGCUGCAAAAAAUGUAGAAGAAUCCAACCCAGCCGAGAAAAGUGAUGAGAAUAGUGACGGCGAUGACAAUGACCCAGAGAGCAGAACCAAUGCUUUUGUAAAAAAGAGAUCGAUGUUUCUGGCCACAUCUUUUCAAGCAAAGAAGAAACAUAGAUGAUGCAGGGAUACUUUCUUGAAUUAAAAAGGUCUUAUGAGGAACAGGUCCCAAUCUCAUGGUUUGGAUGGUUCUGAUCGAAGAACUCUUCCACUUCUGAAAAUCUUUCCCUUGAAUUCGGAUGAUGAGAUUGGUCAUGGUCCAAGCUUGCAGAAGCUCCUGAAUCAUGUAAGUUUACAUCGCAGGCUACACUAGAACUCUUGUUUGUGUGGUUGUAAGUUUCCUCUAAGCAAACUCUGUUUUCUAAAUCGGGCCUUUUUUGUUCAAUCGUCUCGCUCGAAGUUUGCUUCUUUGAUUGCUUUGCUUUGGACAUUUCUUCAUCUAUGAGUGCUUUUACACUUGACAUACUAGAAUCGACCCUGGCUAUUUUGUCGUCAUCGCCAUCCUGAAAUGUUUAAAAUUGAUAUUGUCAAAUUACUGUAUAUUUAUGUAUGUAUGAGAUAAUUUUCUCCUAGGAACCGAUUCUUACGAGUACUCUUUAAGAA